CUCACAGAAUGACUAACAGAAAUAUGAGCUUUGUGCAAAUUUUGUAUUUAAUUCAUUAUGUCAACUGUAACCACUAAGCCACUUGUCAGGUUAUUUCUACAAGUGAUAAGGAGCAAUAGACCUUAAAACCUUGAAGCCAGGUAGACGAGCUUAUUCCACAAGGUCUCUUGGCUUCACCCUUGUUAAGUGCAACCUGCCAGGUGUGGGUCAUUUGUCCUUUGUUAUAUAGGAAGCCUGAGGACGGGUGGGGGAAUUGCCUCCCCAGGAGAAACUGAGGCUUGGGUAGCCUAGGGUGUUUUUCUCUCGUGGUGAAUCGGGCUCAGUGUUCCCUACUAGGCUGCUUUUCGUUCAAGUUUUCUGCCCUCUCUGUGAAAUAGCUUUAGAGACUCUAUGAGCCAGUUACAUUGGUGGUGCCUUCUUCAGAAGAACCCUGGUGGGACUAUUUCACUGCGAAGCACGUUGGAAGUGACUCGAGUUCAGGAGACAGCAGGGAAGGAGCUGGCAGGAGAGCUGCUUCACCCGUGUUGGUUAUACUUUCCAGUGUAUCUCCUUGCUGUUCACCAUGAGCUGGUGCUGUUGCUCACCCUCUGAUCAGCCAGGCAGGUGCAGAUGUCUCUGAUGACUUGGAAAGCUGGAAUGGAUGUCAUUAAGAUUUUAACUGUCUAGAAAGUCAUGUAAAUAGGUUGGGUAGACCAUAAAGCCUGGUUAGUAGCAGAGUACAUUUCUACAUUCAGGCUGUCAAUUUUGCCUCUCCUCAGAAAGAGGAGUUCCCUGCCUG